rnacentral:rRNA from 1 species
AUACGAAGGGGGCUAGCGUUGUUCGGAAUCACUGGGCGUAAAGCGCGCGUAGGUGGAUCAAUUAGUUGAGGGUGAAAUCCCGGGGCUCAACCUCGGAACUGCCUUCAAUACUGUUGAUCUUGAGACCGCGAGAGGUGAGUGGAAUUCCUAGUGUAGAGGUGAAAUUCGUAGAUAUUAGGAAGAACACCAGUGGCGAAGGCGGCUCACUGGCUCGGUACUGACGCUGAGGUGCGAAAGCGUGGGGAGCAAACAGGAUUAGAAACCCUAGUAGUCC